AGCAUCUAGAUUGUAAAGUAAGAAAUUAAACUGUAUGCAAAGAUGGAAGACCCACUAGGUACAAAAUCUGAUGGAAUCUAUAAAAAGCUAUUGUACAAAGUGAGCUUUACCUGAAGGAAAACAACUGACAAUACAGUGUAACAGAACUCAAAGUCUCUACAGUGNNNNNNNNNNNNNNNNNNUAAACAAUUCUACAAAUAUUUAUUAAAGGUAGCUCCUUGUGCUAGAUAGGGGAAUAUCAUGGCAAAUAAGACUAGUCUAUGCUCAAACAGAUGUGACAAACAAAUGCUUUUUAUCCAAUUCUCAAGGACUCAAAUUUUUUUAAAGAGAGUUAAAUUAAGAUUAUUAGCUUAGGAAGAGUCCAAAGUGGGCAAGUGGAGGGUAAUGCACUAUAAAACACCAAUACUUAAGGAAAGAAGAGAGAAAUUUACUAACACAAACAGAACAAAAUACACUGGUCCUUGACCCCCCAGAAAUGAGUUGCUUCAUUGUGGAAGAGGAUAGUGGUAGCUAAAGUCCCCAAAUUCUGUUCCUGUUUCUUGUAAACUCCUCCCAAAGUCUUGCCUAUACACCAAGUGCUCUCCUAUUCUGAGUCAAAGAGGAAUGGGUGCUCAAAGGCCUCCAAAUUAGUCACCGACCUCAGUAAUCCUAAUGCCAAAAUAUAAGAGAAAGAGGAAUAUCUGGUC
rnacentral:lncRNA from 1 species